UCUAGAAAGCAGGCAAACUGCGGCUUUAGCCGCCGGGUCAGCCCCCCGGUGGCACUCACGGUCCACAAGGCCAGGCCACGCUGCCCCCCUGGGCUCCUGAGCUGGCAGACACAGCGAUGGAGUCCUGUCUUGGUCACUUGGCACUUAGGGCGUGGGUAGGCCCGAGCCCCAGCUUCCUCGUGGGCAAGGUGGGGGACAGGAGGGCACCUGCCUCCUGGGGGCGCGGUGACAGUGGCCUGCCUGUCCUCCCCACCCCCAGCCUCCCGGGAGCUGGCCUCUCAGCACCCACAGACACCCGAAAACAGGUUCAGACACCCAGGGCCCCCUGACCCCUCAGGGGCAAACACACUCAGAGGUCAGAGGUCAGAGGUCAGAGGUCUGGGACACCCCAAGCUCUGUCAUGUCACUGGACGUGGUGACCGUUAGACCUGAGGGCGCCGGCCAGCUGACAGGGCAGAAACGGCUGCGCCCGGGGGGUACGGCCUCUCCAGGCUCCUCAUGGGCCCCCGUCCCACGAGUGACCGGAUGUCUCAGGGUGUGGGGGGCAAUGCGGGAUUGGGGUGGGGGGGCUACUGUGUGGCUUUUAUGUCCUGGUCGCCCCCAAACACCACACUGAGCACACGCUGGAGAACAGGCCACCCCAACAUGGCAAGGAGAGCCCCGGUCCCCCAGAAACUGUGGGACCCCUCCCCAGCAAGGGCCCCUCCUCCCCCUCCCCCUGCAGCCCCAGGCCUUGGUCAGCGUGCCUCUCACCCCGACUCAGAGAAGCCGGUUCCAAGGGGGACCCCCAGGUCCCCACCAGCGUUUUGAUCAGAGGCGCCAGAGGCCCCACUCUGGAGGAAGCUGGCGCCCUGGAGAGGCCCGCAGACCAGUGCUCGGGGACGGGGGCGGGGCUGCGGCUGCGGCUGGACCCGGCGCCGGCCGUUCUCCCCGGGGAUGUUGUCAACACCCGUGGCCGGAAGCCCACAGGAGUCGGCUCAGCGCAGGCCCAGGGCGCCGUGCUCUGGAGACACUGAGCAGACCCCACGGGCAGGCCCCAGCUCGGUCCAGGACACCCGGCCAGCUCUUAUCGACUCGGCAGGAAGUCCACCCCCCGGGGCCAUGGCCGCGACCCUGACCCCUCCCGGCAGAGCCACCCAAGACCCCAGACCUGGGCCCCACGGCGAGACACCCCCAGGCUCUGAGGGGCUGCCCUGGCCAGGGACACGUGAGGACAAGCACCUUCCGAGGGGGCGUCGGGGCGCAGGACUUUCACCCCGGGUGCUGUCUCCUCGCACUCUCUCCCUGUGACCCACGCUGACCCGCGGCCUGAAGCCCGGCCACACCACCGGGGGCCUGGGCAGGCGUCUGCAGUCCGUCCCGACUGGUCUCUGCUGCCCUGCCCCCCACUCCCCUCCCCGUUCCUCAUACCCGGCGGGAGGGACCUUCCUGCAGCUCCAGUCGGACUGCGCUGCUCGGGCCACAAGCAGCCCCUCACCCCUUCGCCCUUAGGAUCCCGUGUCCAAACUCCUUCCCACAGCCCCCGAGGCUCGGGAAGCCCCUCUGCCCACAGCGCCGGCCCUCCCCGCCGGCUCAGCGGGCUUGGCCAGGCAGGGCUCUGCGGGUCUCUCAACCCCUGGGCUCCACGCUCACGUGUCGGCUCCCCAAAGCAGCCUUCCCUCACGCCCCCCUCUAAGCGGCCCUCCCGGGAAGGUUUGCCACGUUUAGAAAAUAAAAUUCAAGACAGCCUGUUCAAUGUGAAUCUCAAAUAAAUUUUAAUUUCAAAUACUGCAA